rnacentral:rRNA from 1 species
UACGUAGGGGGCAAGCGUUGUCCGGAAUCAUUGGGCGUAAAGCGCGCGUAGGCGGCCCUGUAAGUCCGUUGUGAAAGUCAAAGGCUCAACCUUUGAAAGCCGAUGGAUACUGCAGGGCUAGAGUACGGAAGAGGCGAGUGGAAUUCCUGGUGUAGCGGUGGAAUGCGCAGAUAUCAGGAGGAACACCAAUAGCGAAGGCAGCUCGCUGGGACGUUACUGACGCUAAGGCGCGAAAGCGUGGGAGCGAACAGG